rnacentral:rRNA from 1 species
GGGGGGGCAAGCGUUGUCGGAAUUACUGGGCGUAAAGGGCGCGUAGGCGGCCUGCUAAGUCGGACGUGAAAUCCCCCGGCUCAACCGGGGAACUGCGUCCGAUACUGGUGGGCUCGAAUCCGGGAGAGGGAUGUGGAAUUCCAGGUGUAGCGGUGAAAUGCGUAGAUAUCUGGAGGAACACCGGUGGCGAAGGCGGCAUCCUGGACCGGCAUUGACGCUGAGGCGCGAAAGCCAGGGGAGCAAACGGGAUUAGAUACCCCGGUAGUCCUGGCCCUAAACGAUGAGUGCUUGGUGUGGCGGGUAUCGAUCCCUGCCGUGCCGAAGCUAACGCAUUAAGCACUCCGCCUGGGGAGUACGGUCGCAAGGCUG